UGUGUAAGUUAGUGGCGCACGGGUGAGUAACACGUAUCCAACCUGCCGAUGACUCGGGGAUAGCCUUUCGAAAGAAAGAUUAAUACCCGAUGGCAUAGUUCUUCCGCAUGGUAGAACUAUUAAAGAAUUUCGGUCAUCGAUGGGGAUGCGUUCCAUUAGGUUGUUGGCGGGGUAACGGCCCACCAAGCCUUCGAUGGAUAGGGGUUCUGAGAGGAAGGUCCCCCACAUUGGAACUGAGACACGGUCCAA
rnacentral:rRNA from 1 species